ensembl:snRNA U6 U6 spliceosomal RNA
AUGCUCACUUCAGCAGCACAUAUACUAAAAUUGGAACAAUACAAAGAUUAGCAUGGCCCUUGCGCAAGGAUGACAUGCAAAUUCGUGAAGCAUUCCGUAUUUUU